AUACGGAGGGGACUAGCGUUGUUCGGAAUUACUGGGCGUAAAGCGUACGUAGGCGGAUCAGAAAGUAUGGGGUGAAAUCCCAGGGCUCAACCCUGGAACUGCCUCAUAAACUCCUGGUCUAGAGUUCGAGAGAGGUGAGUGGAAUUCCGAGUGUAGAGGUGAAAUUCGUAGAUAUUCGGAGGAACACCAGUGGCGAAGGUGGCUCACUGGCUCGAUACUGACGCUGAGGUACGAAAGUGUGGGGAGCAAACAGGAUUAGAUACCCCGGUAGUCC
rnacentral:rRNA from 1 species